rnacentral:lncRNA from 1 species
GUAUAUUUCAGCGGUGCCUUUUUGUUAGAAAAUGACUAACAUCGUUAGCAUGCCUAACCAUUUCAUGUCCGCAGUCCUACAUUAUGAUUCCAAUCCAGCUCAAGUGUUUCCAAUGUGUCCAAAGUUGCUCUAUAAGUAGACAUCAUACAUAGCUAAUUUCACUGCAAGUCUGCUAUGUUAUUGAACUGGAUUAGUACACCAUCUAGUUUCUACUUAGAGCCGUGUCUCCAUCCUUACAGAGUGCCUGAAUCUGCAAGGAAUAUACAACCAUCCAUGAACCUUAUUGAUCCCAACACAAAUCACUGGGAUGUGGAUCUAAUGAAGCAGUCUUUGUGGCAAGUGGAUGUUCAAAGGAUUCUUGCUAUCCCUUUAUCAUCUUCUCGCAUGCAAGGCUUUGUUGCUUGAAACCUAACUCGUACGAACACCUUCUCUGUGCGUUCAACAUAUUAUGAAAAAUGGGAGUGCCAAUAUGGCCAAAGGUUAAACAUAGGCCAUCAAGCAUUUGAUAUCAAUCCGAAUCCAAUUUGAAAUAAAUCCACAGUCUCAAAGUGCCCGUGAAGGUUAAAAUCUUCCUUUGGAGAGCUAUGCAUAAUAUUGUUCCUUGUUGGGUUGCCCUGGCGAACCGCCAUACCAAAGUGAGCGGGCAAUGUCGAGCGGAAGACAUUAAGCAUCCCCUCUUCAAGUGUAGCUAAGCAAAGCACAUAUGGCAAGCACUCGAUGUUCAUGACUUAAUUGAGAAAAAAAAAUCUUGUUCAUCGUCCAGGACAAUCUGUCCUAGAGGAAUUGUUGUACUUUGAACUGGAUUAGUACACCAUCUAGUUUCUACUUAGAGCCGUGUCUCCAUCCUUACAGAGUGCCUGAAUCUGCAAGGAAUAUACAACCAUCCAUGAACCUUAUUGAUCCCAACACAAAUCACUGGGAUGUGGAUCUAAUGAAGCAGUCUUUGUGGCAAGUGGAUGUUCAAAGGAUUCUUGCUAUCCCUUUAUCAUCUUCUCGCAUGCAAGGCUUUGUUGCUUGAAACCUAACUCGUACGAACACCUUCUCUGUGCGUUCAACAUAUUAUGAAAAAUGGGAGUGCCAAUAUGGCCAAAGGUUAAACAUAGGCC